GGUCAAGUGAAGAAGCGCAUACGGUGGAUGCCUUGGCAGUCAGAGGCGAUGAAAGACGUGGUAGCCUGCGAAAAGCUUCGGGGAGUCGGCAAACAGACUUUGAUCCGGAGAUCUCUGAAUGGGGGAACCCACCUAGGAUAACCUAGGUAUCUUGUACUGAAUCCAUAGGUGCAAGAGGCGAACCAGGGGAACUGAAACAUCUAAGUACCCUGAGGAAAAGAAAUCAACCGAGAUUCCCUUAGUAGUGGCGAGCGAACGGGGAUUAGCCCUUAAGCUUCAUUGAUUUUAGCGGAACGCUCUGGAAAGUGCGGCCAUAGUGGGUGAUAGCCCCGUACGCGAAAGGAUCUUUGAAGUGAAAUCGAGUAGGACGGAGCACGAGAAACUUUGUCUGAACAUGGGGGGACCAUCCUCCAAGGCUAAAUACUACUGACUGACCGAUAGUGAACCAGUACCGUGAGGGAAAGGCGAAAAGAACCCCGGAGAGGGGAGUGAAAUAGAACCUGAAACCGUAUGCGUACAAGCAGUGGGAGCCUACUUGUUAGGUGACUGCGUACCUUUUGUAUAAUGGGUCAGCGACUUAUAUUCAGUGGCAAGCUUAACCGUAUAGGGUAGGCGUAGCGAAAGCGAGUCUUAAUAGGGCGUUUAGUCGCUGGGUAUAGACCCGAAACCGGGCGAUCUAUCCAUGAGCAGGUUGAAGGUUAGGUAACACUGACUGGAGGACCGAACCCACUCCCGUUGAAAAGGUAGGGGAUGACUUGUGGAUCGGAGUGAAAGGCUAAUCAAGCUCGGAGAUAGCUGGUUCUCCUCGAAAGCUAUUUAGGUAGCGCCUCAUGUAUCACUCUGGGGGGUAGAGCACUGUUUCGGCUAGGGGGUCAUCCCGACUUACCAAACCGAUGCAAACUCCGAAUACCCAGAAGUGCCGAGCAUGGGAGACACACGGCGGGUGCUAACGUCCGUCGUGAAAAGGGAAACAACCCAGACCGCCAGCUAAGGUCCCAAAGUUGUGGUUAAGUGGUAAACGAUGUGGGAAGGCUUAGACAGCUAGGAGGUUGGCUUAGAAGCAGCCACCCUUUAAAGAAAGCGUAAUAGCUCACUAGUCGAGUCGGCCUGCGCGGAAGAUGUAACGGGGCUCAAACCACACACCGAAGCUGCGGGUGUCACGUAAGUGACGCGGUAGAGGAGCGUUCUGUAAGCCUGUGAAGGUGAGUUGAGAAGCUUGCUGGAGGUAUCAGAAGUGCGAAUGCUGACAUGAGUAACGACAAUGGGUGUGAAAAACACCCACGCCGAAAGACCAAGGGUUCCUGCGCAACGUUAAUCGACGCAGGGUUAGUCGGUUCCUAAGGCGAGGCUGAAAAGCGUAGUCGAUGGGAAACAGGUUAAUAUUCCUGUACUUCUGGUUACUGCGAUGGAGGGACGGAGAAGGCUAGGCCAGCUUGGCGUUGGUUGUCCAAGUUUAAGGUGGUAGGCUGAAAUCUUAGGUAAAUCCGGGGUUUCAAGGCCGAGAGCUGAUGACGAGUCGUCUUUUAGAUGACGAAGUGGUUGAUGCCAUGCUUCCAAGAAAAGCUUCUAAGCUUCAGGUAACCAGGAACCGUACCCCAAACCGACACAGGUGGUCGGGUAGAGAAUACCAAGGCGCUUGAGAGAACUCGGGUGAAGGAACUAGGCAAAAUGGCACCGUAACUUCGGGAGAAGGUGCGCCGGCUAGGGUGAAGGAUUUACUCCGUAAGCUCUGGCUGGUCGAAGAUACCAGGCCGCUGCGACUGUUUAUUAAAAACACAGCACUCUGCAAACACGAAAGUGGACGUAUAGGGUGUGACGCCUGCCCGGUGCCGGAAGGUUAAUUGAUGGGGUUAGCGCAAGCGAAGCUCUUGAUCGAAGCCCCGGUAAACGGCGGCCGUAACUAUAACGGUCCUAAGGUAGCGAAAUUCCUUGUCGGGUAAGUUCCGACCUGCACGAAUGGCGUAACGAUGGCGGCGCUGUCUCCACCCGAGACUCAGUGAAAUUGAAAUCGCUGUGAAGAUGCAGUGUAUCCGCGGCUAGACGGAAAGACCCCGUGAACCUUUACUGUAGCUUUGCACUGGACUUUGAGCCUGCUUGUGUAGGAUAGGUGGGAGGCUUUGAAGCGUGGACGCCAGUUCGCGUGGAGCCAUCCUUGAAAUACCACCCUGGCAUGCUUGAGGUUCUAACUCUGGUCCGUGAUCCGGAUCGAGGACAGUGUANNNNNNNNNNNNNNNNNNNNNNNNNNNNNNNNUAACGGAGGAGUACGAAGGUGCGCUCAGACCGGUCGGAAAUCGGUCGCAGAGUAUAAAGGCAAAAGCGCGCUUGACUGCGAGACAGACACGUCGAGCAGGUACGAAAGUAGGUCUUAGUGAUCCGGUGGUUCUGUAUGGAAGGGCCAUCGCUCAACGGAUAAAAGGUACUCCGGGGAUAACAGGCUGAUACCGCCCAAGAGUUCAUAUCGACGGCGGUGUUUGGCACCUCGAUGUCGGCUCAUCACAUCCUGGGGCUGAAGCCGGUCCCAAGGGUAUGGCUGUUCGCCAUUUAAAGUGGUACGCGAGCUGGGUUUAGAACGUCGUGAGACAGUUCGGUCCCUAUCUGCCGUGGACGUUUGAGAUUUGAGAGGGGCUGCUCCUAGUACGAGAGGACCGGAGUGGACGAACCUCUGGUGUUCCGGUUGUCACGCCAGUGGCAUUGCCGGGUAGCUAUGUUCGGAAAAGAUAACCGCUGAAAGCAUCUAAGCGGGAAACUUGCCUCAAGAUGAGAUCUCACUGGGAACUUGAUUCCCCUGAAGGGCCGUCGAAGACUACGACGUUGAUAGGCUGGGUGUGUAAGCGUUGUGAGGCGUUGAGCUAACCAGUACUAAUUGCCCGUGAGGCUUGACCAU
rnacentral:rRNA from 1 species